UGAAACCAGCUAGAGUCUGUCUCCCAUGGGGAGCUGAGAGAUGAGGCGGUAGCCAGGCUCACAGCUGGAGCCCUCCACCCACCCCAGGGUGACCACACUAGCUGUGAGCCUGGGGCAGGGUUCACAGCAGGAAGCCUACCAGCCAUUCAUGUCAAUUUCAUGGCUCCAGCUGUGAGCCCAGAGCUGCAGAGCCUAGCUGUGAAAUUGGUGAGCGUGACAGCCAACAGCAGAUGCAAGUAACGCAGUGUCUACACAGACACUGCAUCGCCCUAACUAUGCUGGUAAAACCCCUACGCCUCUGGCGGAGGUGGAGUUAUGUCGUCGGUGUAGUAGGGCACUUACAUUGGUGGGAGCAAGGCUGUAGUGUAGACACUGACAUAAUAAGGUUAAUGUAAGCUGCCUUAUGUUGCCCUAACGCUGUACUGCAGACCAGGCCUAGAAAUAAGCCUUUCAAGGAAAGAGUCCUGGCCAACAGGAUGUGGAGAUUAUGAGCCAGUGGGUCCCAGGUGGGCUGUGAUGCACAGGCGUGCUGGAUUACCUGCUGUGUUCACAGAGUGUGCUGGCUCUGAGGAGGGGGAAUGCCUUAAGCAAACCUUGCUCUCCACUGGCCAGGUUUUGGCCCUAAAGUGCGGUUUUUUAACAGCGAGAUAACAAACACACCGUAGUUAUCUCACUGUAAAUUUCUCUACAAGGCACAGAAUGGAGGAACCAUAUCCUGCCAAGCAGGGAGUCCAGAAAGGAUUAAUGGAUCAUAGUGGACACACAACUGAACGGGAGCACCCAGUGAGAUGCUCUUGCAGAAAGGGCUACUGCGAUUUUUGGAUGUAUAAACGGGGGAGGUGAGUAGGAGUAGGAAGGGGAUUUUCCCUCUGUGUAUGGCAAUGGGGAGACUGAAGCUGGGAUACUGCCUCUGGUUGUGGUGUGGUGUCCACAUUGUUAAAAUGGCAUUGCGAGAUUGGAGGGGGCACAGAGACGAGCCACAAAAAUGGUCCCGAGCGCUGGAAAAUUGCUUUAGAGUGAUAGGUGCAAACAUCUCAAUCUGUUCGGCUUAUCGAAAAAGAUUUGAGAGGUCGCUUGAUUACCCCAUACAUUUAACUUUAUGGGGAGAGAAUACCAGGUGGUAAAGGGCUCUUUAAUUCAGCGGAGAAAAAACAAGAACCAGUGGCUGGAAGUUAAAGCCAGACAAAUUCCAACUCAAAUUAAGGCACAGAUUCUGUACAGUGCGGAUGACUGAACACCGGAACAAACUGCCCCAGGAAGUGGGGAGUUCCCCAUUUGUUGAUGUCUCCAAAUCCAGGGUAGCUGCCUUCCUAGGAGAUGCUUUAGGUCAGCACAAGUUAUGCGACUCAAUCCAGGGGUAGGUGUUUUGGGUCUCAGCUGCAAAUGCUCCUCUCAGCUCCCAGCAUGAGCUCUGUUCAGCAGGAGCAAGAGACUUGGCAGCUCGACAGAUGUCCCUGCUGCUGAUGCAAUCUAACUGGCUGUUUCAUACUCACUAUGUGGCUACCAUCACAUCUCGCAGUUCCAUUACCCAGCCCAGCCCCUGGAUUUCCACAUCCUUGGUGAGGUGAUGCAAUGUGCGGGUGGAAUAACAGCAUAUAACUUUGAAUGUGUCAGAGGAGGAAACUGAAUAGACUAGGUGUGGGGGGGAGGGAGGCUGGGCAACUCCUGGGUUCUCUGCCUGGCUCAGAGGCAGUGUGAUUCAGGGUAGGUCUAUGCUGCAAUCAUAGGGUGUGAGUGCAGCUCAAGUGGGCAUACCUGAGCUAGCCUGAAUCUAGCUAACUUGGGUCCUGGCAGAACACUUCAGCAUAGAGUUCUGGUGAUCUUGUACAGCCCCCACUGCCACUGUGCUCCGGUGCUUGAACUAGUUCGAUUAAAGCUAGUUUGCGUACAUCUAACUGAGCUGCAGUCACACCCGGUGAUCACAGCAGAGACAUACCCUGAAUGGAGUAAGUUGGGGGCCAGAACGUCAGGGCUGAUUCUGACUCUGGGAUGGAGCAUAGCUUACAGGGUGUUCAAGCAAAGACACACUGAGCUUCUAGAAAAGGAGUACUUGUGGCACCUUAGAGACUAACAAAUUUAUCUUAUGCUCAAAUAAAUUUGUUAGUCUCUAAGGUGCCACAAGUACUCCUUUUCUUUUUGCGAAUACAGACUAACACGGCUGCUACUCUGAAAACUGAGCUCCUAGAAUCCUGGGUGCUCUGCCACUGUUUUGCUGUGCAGUCUUGACCAAAGUCUGGUCUAUACUAGAAAAGUAGGUUUGUUUAACUACAUUGACCAGGGUGUGAAAAAUUCACACCCCUGAGCAAUGUAGUUAAGCCACCUACAUCCCCUGAUAGGCAGCGGUAGGUCGACGGAAGAAUUAUUUGGUCAACCUAGCUCCUGCCUCUCGGGGAGGAGGAUGACCAUGCCUGUCAGCAUCGGUAGUGUUACACUAAAAUGCCACAGCCUCCUUUACAGGAAAUAGAGUUAUCAUGAUGUUUGAAGCAUCAGCUGCAGCUUGGGAGAAUUCCCUUUCUUGUUGGUAAAGAACUGUAUCACACCACAGGCUGAGCGUGGCCCACGAAUGAGCGAGAGCAACCUGAGUCUCCUGUCAUAUGAAAGGGAUCUGACUUCAUACCUCAGCCUGGGUGGCACUGACUCCUCGUUGUUUUUGCUGAUACAGACUAACACGCUACCUCUCUGAAACCUGUAGAACUCAGUGGUUUGCUAUCCGAGCAGACUUCAGUGUGAGUUUAUGAACAGCCUUUACAUGGCGCAGCACUUUCAUAUUAAGAUCAAUGCUUUUAGAUUUCUGGAUCUUUGAAUAUUUGUGAGACUGAAUGAUCGAUCACAUCAAGACGUAUCUUUUCGUUUCUUAUUUCAUGAAAGUAAAGUUAAAAGAGGC